AACGAACGCUGGCGGCAGGCUUAACACAUGCAAGUCGAACGAGUGUAGCAAUACACUAGUGGCGCACGGGUGCGUAACGCGUGGGAACCUUCCUCGUAGUUCGGAAUAACUCAGGGAAACUUGGGCUAAUACCGAAUGCCUCCUUCGGGAGAAAGAUUUAUCGCUACGAGAUGGGCCCGCGUCAGAUUAGGUAGUUGGUAGGGUAAUGGCCUACCAAGCCGACGAUCUGUAGCUGGUCNGAGAGGAUGAUCAGCCACACUGGGACUGAGACACGGCCAGACUCCUACGGGAGGCAGCAGUGGGAAUAUUGGACAAUGGGGCAACCCUGAUCCAGCCAUGCCGCGUGAGUGAAGAAGGCC
rnacentral:rRNA from 1 species